CGGCGGCCGGCGGAGACGCGGGUGGCCGGCGAUGGCCGCGGUGGGGGCCGGCUGGGGCCCAGCCCACGGAGGCCGGCGGAAGGCGGUGGCCGAAGAGCCGCGCCCCUUGUGGAGCGCAUGCUGUGUGACCCGCGCCUGUCUUUCCCGCCGCCGCCCCGCCAGGGCCCAUCUCAGGUUCGACCGGCUGUGUUUCAAGAGCUCAGCAAGCACGUGUCUCCUGCAUUGGACCCUGCAAUGCUAGUUGGGGAGACAGAAAAGAAAUGAAGCGGAUUCCACAUCAAGUGGUGGAAAGGGUGUACCCGGUGUAGAUGCUCAGCCCUGGGGAUACAACAGUGACCAUGCUAGAACGGGCAUCUGCCCUCACGGAAGUCCCAGUCAACCUGUGGGUACAGGCUUAAGAGGGCAACUCCAACAUCGACUGGGUGUGCAACCUUGGGUCUCCCUUCUCUCUGGAGCCCCGGUGGGGUGCCCUGUGCAUCCCCACAGCCUGUGUGUGGACGUUCCUCUAGAAUGCAGACCGUGCAUCCUGUGAAAGUCCCCCCGGCGGUGAGCGUCACAAGGGCACGGUACAUCUAUUAUCUGCCCUCUGUCUCCAGCUCUCUGCACAUCGCUUGGCAUUUGCUUUAAAAUGAUCUGCCAGCCCCGGGAGGGGCACUCAGUCCUUCCAUGAUCAGGUAGGCGCCAGCUGUCAAGACGUCCUGAUACACAAGACAUGCUUGGAGCACAGAGGAUUUUCAGGGCAGUGAGGUACUCUGUAUGAGGCCAUAAUGAUGGGUACAGGUCAUCAAGCAUUUGCUCAAACCCAUAAAACGUCCAACACCAGGAGUGGACCCGAACGUAAACUAUGGACUUUGGAUGACAAUGCUGUCAGCACAGGCCCGUCGAUGGUAACAAAUGCACCCUUUGGUGCGGGAUGUUGAUAACCAGGGAAUAUCCAUUUGGGGCAAAUAUCCAUUUGGGGCAAAGGGUAUAUGGGAGAUCUCUGUACCUUCCCCCCAGUUUUGCUGGGAAAAUUGAACUGCCCAGAAAAAAAAGUCUUAAUAAACAUAAGAAAGAAUCAGGACAAAA